rnacentral:rRNA from 1 species
ACGGAGGAUGCGAGCGUUAUCCGGAUUUAUUGGGUUUAAAGGGUGCGUAGGUGGACUGUUUAGUCAGUGGUGAAAUGCUGAUGCUCAACGUUAGCAUUGCCGUUGAAACUGACAGUCUUGAGAGUGAUUGAGGCAGGCGGAAUGUGUGGUGUAGCGGUGAAAUGCAUAGAUAUCACGCAGAACUCCAAUUGCGAAGGCAGCUUGCCAAACCACAACUGACACUGAAGCACGAAAGCGUGGGGAUCAAACAG